rnacentral:rRNA from 1 species
GAUGAACGCUAGCUACAGGCUUAACACAUGCAAGUCGAGGGGAAACGAUGAGAGAGCUUGCUCUCUUAGGCGUCGACCGGCGCACGGGUGAGUAACGCGUAUCCAACCUACCCAUUACAGGGGGAUAACCUUGCGAAAGUAAGACUAAUACCCCAUGGCAUUUUAUGGUGGCAUCAUUAUAGGAUUAAAGAUUUAUUGGUAAUGGAUGGGGAUGCGUCUGAUUAGCUUGUUGGCGGGGUAACGGCCCACCAAGGCAACGAUCAGUAGGGGUUCUGAGAGGAAGGUCCCCCACAUUGGAACUGAGACACGGUCCAAACUCCUACGGGAGGAAGCAGUGAGGAAUAUUGGUCAAUGGGCGAGAGCUUGAACCAGCCAAGUAGCGUGCAGGAUGACGGCCCUAUGGGUUGUAAACUGCUUUUAUAGGGGAAUAAAGUGAGCUACGUGUAGUUUAUUGCAUGUACCCUAUGAAUAAGGACCGGCUAAUUCCGUG